AUUCCAUGGUGAGGGCAAUUUUUGAUCAUCAUAUUGAAACGCUCAAAAGCCUCAUGAAACAUUUCACCAUGUUGUUGUUGAAAGCUCCUCAACCCUUUUCUAGCAAC
rfam:Helianthus annuus linkage group 10, whole genome shotgun sequence.